rnacentral:tRNA from 1 species
UUAAUUGAAACCAAAAUAGAGGUAUAUUACUGUUAAUAAUAUUAUUGAAAAACUUCCAAUUGAA